AUACAUUGUGUGUGUGUGUGUCUG
rnacentral:siRNA from 1 species